UACGGGGGGGGCAAGCGUUGUUCGGAAUUACUGGGCGUAAAGGGCGCGUAGGCGGCCUUCUAAGUCGAACGUGAAAUCCCUGGGCUCAACCCAGGAACUGCGUCCGAUACUGGAAGGCUUGAGUCCGGGAGAGGGAUGCGGAAUUCCAGGUGUAGCGGUGAAAUGCGUAGAUAUCUGGAGGAACACCGGUGGCGAAGGCGGCAUCCUGGACCGGCAUUGACGCUGAGGCGCGAAAGCCAGGGGAGCAAACGGG
rnacentral:rRNA from 1 species